rnacentral:rRNA from 1 species
UACAGAGGGUGCAAGCGUUAAUCGGAAUUAUUGGGCGUAAAGAGCACGUAGGCGGAUAUAUCAGUCAGAUGUGAAAUCCCCGGGCUUAACCUGGGAAUGGCAUUUGAAACUGUAUGACUAGAGUAGAGUAGAGGAAAGCGGAAUUUCCGGUGUAGCGGUGAAAUGCGUAGAGAUCGGAAGGAACACCAGUGGCGAAGGCGGCUUUCUGGAUUCAUACUGACGCUGAGGUGCGAAAGCGUGGGGAGCAAACAGG